AGGACUAUCACUUGGAGAUUGUGGUAAAACACAGAUUCUGUUUCAGCAGAACUAGUGUGGAGCCUAGAAUUUGCAUUUCUAACAAGUCCAAAGUAAUGUUGAU
rnacentral:pre_miRNA from 1 species